AGGGUUUGGUUUUCAGUUUUCACAAUCUUUGAAGGGCUUUGAGGUGGGGAAGAAUAACGCGGGGGACCAUUUAUGUGUUGCCAGACUUUGUGUAGGUAUCAAAUUCAUAUUUUUCAAAAUAAAUUAAAUGUGUUGAACUAAUUAUAAAAAUGUAGAUGUAUCACAAGUUGUGAUUCACAACGUCAUGUGUGUAAUUGCAGUGGUUCCAACAAUAGUUAAUACGAAAAAGAAAUAAAAAAAAACAAUAUAGAAAAGGUUCACCUAGAUUUUAAUUGGUAGUGUCAUUAUCAUAUGUAUAGGUUUUCUACAUAUAAUUAUUAAAAAUUGCGGUACUUGUUGACAAUGGUUAUGUUGGUAUCUAAGUAAACUUUUUUUUUUUAUGAAAUAUUAAAUUUAUUGAUCAUCGUAAAAAAAUAAUAGUUAUCUGAAAUAGUAAAGUUGAAGAGAAAUUCUCCACAUGCCGCCACCUCAUCUCUCAUAUCUCCAUAUUGGGCCACGUGUCGAGUAAAGAGAUAGCUUCUUUUUUUCUUGCCUCUAAUUCGCGGAGUAAUCGCUGGGCUUUCUGUUGAUUCAUUGGGCCAUCAAUAUUUUGAUUUUUUUUUGGCAUGUUCGUGUUUAAGGUUUGGUGUGCCCUCUUCUUCAAUUCGACGUCGUGUUCUUCCAUCGUCUCCAACUACGUUUGUAACUUCUUUUCUUUUCCUUAAACUCAAGCUUUAAUACAAUCAUUAAGUUCCACCGCACCUCUCUUCCCACUCUGUUUCAUUUAUUCCCAUUAACGAGUGUCGUCUGUAACAGAUCCAAGGUCGACUUAUAAAUAAGUGUUUUUAGAGCGAUGAAGAUCUACACCAUCGAGAUAUCUUAUAGCUUAAACAAUCCGACACAUCCCAUUCAAAUAUGUCGUCUUCCUAUGUUCUUUUUGCCAACUUAAGAGCGGUCCGUUACUCAAACACGGCGCAUGUGCGCCUUUUGAGAUUCUGGGAAGCUCAGGAAAGGUGGAGAGCUUAUGAGUGUCGACAUGCUUCUUAUCGAUGAACAGGUAACUUUGAUAACUCUCUGUUUCUUAUUUCUUUCAAUUAUGCAUUUCACAAACCUCGAUGUGUAAAUGUUUGGUUCGUUCUUGACGUGUUGUAGUCUACACUCAUCCACAAGACCAUCAACUUGAUCCAGAGUGGAAGAUGAUCAGGCCUGAUCUCGGGAGGAUAGAGAAAUUGGUGCUAUGCAAUGCCUUUGAUGAUGAAGAUAAGCCUUACCUUCCAAAGGUUUGCUUUUGUGCUUUUGUAUAAUUUUUUGUGUCGUUCUAUUAGUUCUUUUGAUUCUCUAUGUUCGAAGCAUAAUUUUCUAUCAAUUUGUUUUUCUUCUUCAACAUGAUUAGAUUAGUUGAACACAACCAACACUAAAGUGGUAUUUUUCUGUUUUUCUUCAGGAUUGUUCAAUUAUAAAUAUGCUAGCAAAAAAAAAAAUCAUUCUUCCCCUCCUCAGCCUACCAGAAGCGACCUCCUUCGUUGAUGUCUUAUUUAUGCGCCACCGCUCUCCUAUGACCAUACCACUAAACAGCAACAACAUCAACCAGCCUCCGAACGCAUCUCCACUUCUCACUACAAGCCUCCCCUCUAUAGAUAUAGCACGGUACCAUAGUUCUAUCGACUGUCUUAAUUUGUAUUUACGGUCUUCUUUCAUGAUUUUGAUAUUUGGUUCCAAAAUCUAGCCCGAGAAUCUUAGAGAGCAUGUCAAAGAAGGAAGUAAGAUAUGCAAUUUCUUAUGAAUCUGAUGUGGACACUUGACACAACCGAAAGGAGAAACACUUCUUUUAACCCCUUUCGAUAUGACACAACUCGCACAGUACUCAGUCACUCAUUUCUGUUUCUCUAUGAUUCUUCCAUUUAUGAGAAAUAACUUGCACAAAACGUUUGUUGGUUGUUUAGUCUUCACGAGAAAUACUUACUCCUCCACUUUUUGGUAAUUUUUGAGGAAAGUGCGACGAGUAUUUGGAUGUGCUUAAAUUUUCUUAUGGUAUUGUUUAUUUGGUUUUGUUGAGCAGGGUAUCUACUUACACAAUUGAAAUGUGAUGAUUGCUUUAUCGUAGUUCCUUUUCUGUGAAGUACUAAAUAGGGCAAUAUAAAGUCUCAGUUUUUAAGACAAAGACCAUAGCUGAAAUUAGGCAUGUGAUGUUUAUUACUAAUACAAGUCUAGGUGACCAAAAUCACGAGGAAAACCAAACAAUGAGUAUUUAUUUAUCUUUUUAUUUUUAUAGAAAGUUCGGGAAAAUACUUUACAGUAAGUCUAUAUAUUAAAAACUGCACUAUUAUUUAGCUUUUUGGAAAAACUCUUAUUUAUAAGUGACAAGAUUACUAAAUUAUUCAAUUUAAAUGUGUACUACAAUCUUAAUAACUAAAUUAACAAUUUUAAUGAAGAUUAUAAACUAUGUGCCAAAGGUAAUAAAUAAUAAAUAUAUAUUUUCAAAACAUAAUAAAUAAAUAUGUACUAUUUAUAAACACUAAGUUUUUAAUAAUUAUUGUAUGUAGUCCACAUUUUAAGAUUAAUCUUAUAUCGUAAUUAAAAAUUAAUAAUUGCCAAUCAAAUAAUAAGCAAUUUGGCUAUUACACUUUCAAAUUGUCAUGCAUAUGUUAAAACUUAAAGUGUUGUGCAUAUAUCAUAGAUAACCUCAAAAUCAACUAUGUAGAGAUUAAUUUCAAAUUAAUAGAUCUUUAUAUCAUUGAUACAUUUAAAAAAAAAAAUAAUAUUUAAAAUGUUGUAAAUUACAAAACCAACGAAGUAAUAUUAAUAUUAGAAAAGCGCCGGAAAACCACUAGUUUAUAAAUAAACUCUAAUAACAGAAAUUUUGCUAUUUUAAACUCCUAAUUUUGCUCAAUGCGAGUACUGAACCAAAGUUGCAUCAACCCCAAUAGCCAUUUCUUCUCAUAAUAACGAGUAGAUAAAAUUCGUUGCUGAUGGUCUUCUCGAUCAUCUUUGCGAGUUGGUUCGCUUGUCGACUUGUGUAUGACGUCUCUCGUUUCUUUCGCGCCAGAUAUAAUAGACAGUGACUUGCAGCGCUAAUUUCAGAAGAAUAGAAGCAAGUCUAUCAUGUGCUGCACUGAGUAUACGAACCAAAAUAUCUGUCCAAUCAGGCGAAGGUGCUAGUCGAAGUAAAGAGCCAGUAAACUGCAACCAGAGUCCAUAAAUAUAUAGACAUACAAAAAACAAG
rnacentral:lncRNA from 1 species